rnacentral:rRNA from 1 species
GAUGAACGCUGGCGGCGUGCCUAAUACAUGCAAGUCGAGCGAACGGACGAGAAGCUUGCUUCUCUGAUGUUAGCGGCGGACGGGUGAGUAACACGUGGAUAACCUACCUAUAAGACUGGGAUAACUUCGGGAAACCGUAGCUAAUACCGGAUAAUAUUUUGAACCGCAUGGUUCAAAAGUGAAAGACGGUCUUGCUGUCACUUAUAGAUGGAUCCGCGCUGCAUUAGCUAGUUGGUAAGGUAACGGCUUACCAAGGCAACGAUGCAUAGCCGACCUGAGAGGGUGAUCGGCCACACUGGAACUGAGACACGGUCCAGACUCCUACGGGAGGCAGCAGUAGGGAAUCUUCCGCAAUGGGCGAAAGCCUGACGGAGCAACGCCGCGUGAGUGAUGAAGGUCUUCGGAUCGUAAAACUCUGUUAUUAGGGAAGAACAUAUGUGUAAGUAACUGUGCACAUCUUGACGGUACCUAAUCAGAAAGCCACGGCUAACUACGUGCCAGCAGCCGCGGUAAUACGUAGGUGGCAAGCGUUAUCCGGAAUUAUUGGGCGUAAAGCGCGCGUAGGCGGUUUUUUAAGUCUGAUGUGAAAGCCCACGGCUCAACCGUGGAGGGUCAUUGGAAACUGGAAAACUUGAGUGCAGAAGAGGAAAGUGGAAUUCCAUGUGUAGCGGUGAAAUGCGCAGAGAUAUGGAGGAACACCAGUGGCGAAGGCGACUUUCUGGUCUGUAACUGACGCUGAUGUGCGAAAGCGUGGGAAUCAAACAGGAUUAGAUACCCUGGUAGUCCACGCCGUAAACGAUGAGUGCUAAGUGUUAGGGGGUUUCCGCCCCUUAGUGCUGCAGCUAACGCAUUAAGCACUCCGCCUGGGGAGUACGACCGCAAGGUUGAAACUCAAAGGAAUUGACGGGGACCCGCACAAGCGGUGGAGCAUGUGGUUUAAUUCGAAGCAACGCGAAGAACCUUACCAAAUCUUGACAUCCUUUGACAACUCUAGAGAUAGAGCCUUCCCCUUCGGGGGACAAAGUGACAGGUGGUGCAUGGUUGUCGUCAGCUCGUGUCGUGAGAUGUUGGGUUAAGUCCCGCAACGAGCGCAACCCUUAAGCUUAGUUGCCAUCAUUAAGUUGGGCACUCUAAGUUGACUGCCGGUGACAAACCGGAGGAAGGUGGGGAUGACGUCAAAUCAUCAUGCCCCUUAUGAUUUGGGCUACACACGUGCUACAAUGGACAAUACAAAGGGCAGCGAAACCGCGAGGUCAAGCAAAUCCCAUAAAGUUGUUCUCAGUUCGGAUUGUAGUCUGCAACUCGACUACAUGAAGCUGGAAUCGCUAGUAAUCGUAGAUCAGCAUGCUACGGUGAAUACGUUCCCGGGUCU